GACGAACGCUGGCGGCGUGCUUAACACAUGCAAGUCGAACGGAAAGGCCCCCAUCUUGGUGGGGGUGCUCGAGUGGCGAACGGGUGAGUAACACGUGGGUGAUCUGCCCUGUACUUCGGGAUAAGCUUGGGAAACUGGGUCUAAUACCGGAUAGGACCAUGGUUUAGUGUCUCAUGGUGGAAAGAUUAUUGUUUUGGUGCAGGAUGAGCUCGCGGCCUAUCAGCUUGUUGGUGGGGUAAUGGCCUACCAAGGCGUCGACGGGUAGCCGGCCUGAGAGGGUGGACGGCCACAUUGGGACUGAGAUACGGCCCAGACUCCUACGGGAGGCAGCAGUGGGGAAUAUUGCACAAUGGGCGCAAGCCUGAUGCAGCGACGCCGCGUGGGGGAUGACGGCCUUCGGGUUGUAAACUCCUUUCGUUAGGGACGAAGCCGCACUUUUUUGGGGUGUGGUGACGGUACCUUUGUGAAGAAGCACCGGCUAACUACGUG
rnacentral:rRNA from 1 species